UACGUAGGGCGCAAGCGUUGUCCGGAAUUAUUGGGCGUAAAGAGCUCGUAGGCGGUCUGUCGCGUCUGCUGUGAAAACUCAGGGCUUAACCCUGAGCUUGCAGUGGGUACGGGCAGACUAGAGUGCGGUAGGGGAGACUGGAAUUCCUGGUGUAGCGGUGAAAUGCGCAGAUAUCAGGAGGAACACCGGUGGCGAAGGCGGGUCUCUGGGCAGUAACUGACGCUGAGGAGCGAAAGCGUGGGGAGCGAACAGG
rnacentral:rRNA from 1 species